rnacentral:rRNA from 1 species
UACGUAGGGUGCGAGCGUUGUCCGGAAUCAUUGGGCGUAAAGGGCGCGUAGGUGGCCUGCUAAGCGUGCGGUGAAAGCUCGGGGCUCAACCCCGAGUCGGCCGUGCGAACUGGUGGGCUUGAGCACUGUAGAGGCAGGCGGAAUUCCGGGUGUAGCGGUGGAAUGCGUAGAGAUCGGCAGGAACACCCAGGGGGAAACCAGUGGACUGGGCAUGUGCUGACGCUCAGGUGCGAAAGCGUGGGGAGCGAACCGG